CCCCGCCCCGUCACGUGGGCUCAGAGGGGGAAAUCAAGACAGAGAGUUCAAGUGGCUUGCUGAGACUCAUGUUUCCUGCUGAUGGCCGUGCCCAGAUUCAAGCUCAGUGUAACACCAAACCUCACCCUCCACUACUCUUGAGAAACAGCGAUCCUGGUAAAGGCAUUGGCAGGACCAGCUCUUCUGGUGCUCUAAGGUGCAAUGGAGAACUGUCAGAGGGCACAUGAAGCUUGCUCUGAGAGAACGGAGAUGCUGAGAGGAGCUUCCUGGGGGAGCAGAUCAUCAAUGCAGGACACAAUGAAUAUGUUGGCCCAGAAAAAAUAAAAUACCUGGAAGGCAGUUAGCUCAAGAAAAAGAACCCAGCAUGUUCAAGGGUCUCCAGAAAGCUUAAUAAGGCUGUCAGAAAGGCAACUGUAGAAAGGGACCAAGAAGGAAGUCUGGUUCAAUUCAUGUAACGUCUUAGAAGAAAUAUUGAAAAUUUUUGACUUCAUCCUGAAGACAAUUGGAAGUUUUUAAAAGACCUUGGUAGACAGGCUUCAUAACCACAAUUAUGAUUUUAAAGAGAUCCUACCUGCUACUCCUGGGAAAGCAGAUUGGUGACCCAAGAGAGACAGGAGUCCGCUUGGAAGAAUAUCCUAUUUUCAUUGUUCAGUCACAGACAGGAAAUGAAGCAUGCACUAGAACUCCAGGGAUGGAGAAAGGGGGAUUCUAAGAGCAUUUUAGAAGCAGAAUUGGCAGGAUGGGGUGCCUGGUGUGCGAGGUCAUAAAGGCAGGCAGGGAUCAGGAUGAAUACACAUUCUUACAAAUGCAUGGAAGGAACAGAGGAGGGCGAGCAUUAUUGGGAAAGCAGAGUUUUAGAUGCUUCUGAGAAAUUCAAACAGAGAGAUUCUGAUCUCUACAUAGAUUUGGGGACUCAGACAUAGAUUUGGGCUUGAGAAAUGCACAACAAUGGUAAAUAUGAGGAUAUUAGUGAUUGCUUAGGAACUGAAUGUGCAGAGGUUGGACGGAGCCCCAGAGAACUCCAGCAUUUCACUGCUAUUUGGAGGAGUAUGACCUAGUAAUGAAGAUUAGCUUGAGCAGAGAGAUAGAAAAGAAAAAUCAAAUGUAGAGGUGUCCGUAAUGCCAAAGUAAAUGAUUGUUUCAAGAAAAAAAUACAGACCCUUUCGAAUGGGGCUAUGAGAUAAAAUGAAAUGAGGGUUUUAAAGAUGAUAUUAGCAUUGCUUGCUUUGGAAAGUACACUUCCUAGUAAUAUUUAAGUUAUCAGUGACUUGGCAAAAGCUGUUAGUACAUGUUAGGAAGAGAUGGCUAAAAGGAGGAAGGGAAGUGAGAAAUGAUAAAUAUGGAUAAUUGUGGAAUUUGACAGUAGAAAGUAAAAUAUUAGUAGAAGUAGAAGAGGAGUGACGUUUGAAGCUGAAUACACACACACACACACACACACACACACACACACACACACACCUGUGCACUUAAAAAGAAUAGAUGCACAUAGUUGGCUGAUGAUGGGGUAAAGAGAGAACUAAACAUACUUAGUUCCUUCUGAGGUUUUCAAAAUGAAAGAAAGACUCAGGUAUUGGAGUGGAAUAUUUUUGUAGGUUUUAAGACUAAGAUUGAGGCAAAUUUCAUCUGUUGACUUCUGUUUUUCUGUGAAUUCAGGGGAUUACUUGAGGUUUUCUGCUGAGAUAGAGCAAAAUGUUUCAUAAGCAAAAUCUAUUAUUUCCUACAUGUAUCUUUCUAUGUUCCCAUCAACCAAGAGAAUCAAUACUUCUCUUAUAUCCCCAGUUCUUCACAGCCAAAUCUCAAGGCUCUCCCUAUAAGCAGACACCAAUGCUAAGCCCUUGUGAUGAUGGAAGCCAUUAUUAUGUAUUUCUCGCUAAAACCUGAGAUGGUUUUCUGUUAUCAUUGUCCAUGUUCUCUAUCCUGGAUGAGCUCUGAGUUGCACUAGCUCUUCCUGACUCAUGGUUUGGGGCUCAUGCAGAUCUGGGAUGGUUCUAUAUUUGUGUUCAUUGCUCUUGCCUAGUUGCUUUAUCUGGUCACGAGCAUGAGAAUUAGGUGAGAAAGAAUACCGUUCCCUCUUCAUUUCUAUAUAAUAUUACCCCCGUUUUUUCUUUUAUCUUUUUUUUCCUUUGCAUCAUCUAAAAAGUGUAAGGAGAAGAAAAUGGAAACUUGUGUGGGUAGGCCAAUGAGCAAGUAAAUCACUUUUGGUGUCUUAGAAAUUUUCAGUAUAUGGUGAUUCUACCAACAAAUGCCACAAUUUCCUUAAACCUAUCACUCAUAUGAUAAAAGGAAAAUGUAUGAUAUUUCAAUAGUAUAUCCAAAUGGGGACAUUUCCCUUCCUUUCUAAUAAGUAUACAGUAUUCUAAUAGAAAGUCCAUUAUUUCUCAUUAAUGAACCAAUUAGAAAAUUAUUGCUGGGUUGCAUAGACAAGAGGAACAGUCCUGACCAAUAAUGGCAGGGAAGAAAACCAGGAAAUAUCCUCUCUUUUUGUUCCUACUGUAUUCUUAGAAUAGUGUUUGUUGUCCAUUCAAAUUCUUGAGUUUAUAAUCCAUGUUAUUUAGUAAUUUCAACUACAAUAAGAAACAUAUGAAACAUAUAGCAUAAAGAUUCUUUGUAAAAGAUGAAUUUCAGCUUAGAAAUGUUCAAAGAAUGAUAUGUUAGAGAAAUUACAGUUUUAUAACUCCUAAUCAGGCAGAAGAAUGGUCUUUGAGAAUCAUGUUUGCUUAUUUCCAGAAAUAGGGGAUGAAUCAUGAUAUAUGUAGCAAUGUCUACAUAGGAAGUAUAUGGAAUUCUUUCCUUUACAAGAAUUUACAUACUGAAGUAUGAAUUGCAUUAGGAAUGGAUGCUUAAUCUAAAAAUAAACCAUUUAUGAAACAGAAAAAAAUAAAGAAAAAAUUCAAGAAGUGAUAGACUAUUUCAAUAAGGAGAUAGAGAUCCUGAAGAAAAAUGAGUCAGAAAUCUUCAAAAUGAAGGAAUUUAUAAACCAAAUUAAAAAUUCAAUGGAAAGCAUCACCAACAUACUAGACCACUUGACAGAUGGAGAUUCAGGCAAUGAAGACUUUGUCCCUCUCUUGAAAGGUAUUCGCUUCUGAGUCUCAGGACUUGGUUUCAUGUUAAUUGGGUCUCCCUGUGUCUCCAGAGGCUUGGAGGGUAAUGCUUCACCCUGGCUAGGGGCAACACUUUACUCUUCACCCAGCCCAUCUGUCUUUCUGCGACCCUCCUCCUGCUCCUCACCCACCAUGAUUCCUCUGGCUGCACCUGGGCCCUCUCCUCUAUUUUCUUUAGUCCAGGGAAAGGGAAGUGACUGGGUAUCAUACAUUCUACAGCUUGGAAUACCUGUUCAGGACUGGACCUCCAUAAAUGGGAUCCUUGUGAAUCUGGUAUCUUUGAAGAAGCAGACUGGAUGAGCCAGUUUAGGUGCCAGUGCCAAGAGUUGGUUCAUAACUCAAAAGGUAAAGACACAUUUGCCAAGGUUACUGGGAGAAGAGGUUGAAAAUUUACCCUCUCCCUACCAGGAUGUGCCUAUGUCCAUGAGAGAUGACACUCUGCUUGGUGAAACUGGGGAAUACGUAUAGGAAGAAAGCUAAGGAAAUCACAAUAAAAUAGUUAUUUUGGAUUUGGGACACUGGUGCUGAAGAUAUACUCUUAUGAGAGUAAAAUGAGGAAGAGCACAUUAGUCACCACCUACUCUACAUUACAACAAUGUAUAUAUGUAGCUGUAAAUGAGGAAAAUGAGGACACUGCCAUCUCUUUAUUGUCCUAGCUGAUAGCUUCCUGAAAUUAUGAUUGGCACAAUAUGUUGAAGUCACCCAUGGUACCCUGCGAUGGAAAUCCAUGGGAGAACUCCAAGACCUUCUGAGGGAGUUACGGUGCAGCAGGCCCUUCAUGCAGCAACCUGCACUGGUCCUGAUAAAGAACCAUUCACAGAAGAACUGAAGGACCAUUCUCCAAGCACUUAUGAGGCAGUAUUAUGGAACCCUGGGAUCAUUCCUGAUCUGUUAAUUGGCAUUUGAUUUUUUUUUUCUCAAGCCACACAGGUUAUGGCUGUAUGGGAUAAACGAAAAAGAUGAGAAAGUGAGGUUACAGAGAAUAUAUCUUAGAAGGGGGAGAACUAAAGGGGAAAGAAAAUACAAGAGAUCAAAUGAGGAUAAGCAAGGACAAUAUGCCUUCGUGUUGGAAGGGCAACAAUGGUCUUUGUUCUUUCACAAGGAUAUUUGCCUAGUCUACCCUAUGUUAUGGGAUGGUGUUGGCACCUCUGAGCUGGACAUAAUCUGAAUAAGUACCAAUGUUUUAUUAUUGUAUUGAUGAUGUGGCUUUAACAUCUGUGUCUUUACUUUACCUGAGCUGAGACUGCAGCUCAAAGAGUGUUGGCAACUUCCAAGACGGACGAUGGGGUUGGAGUGUAAACUCCUCCAAGUUGCAAAGACCUGGAGUGUCUCUCAGGUGCUCAGGGGUUAUUUGGUUGUGUCCUGCUGUUGCUCAUAAAAAGCAAAUUUUUCCCAAUUCCCAGACACAGACCUUUCUGGAUGUUGAGAUGUUUUCAUCACUGUACUCCAUAAUUUAGGAUUAAUGUUAAAGACUCUGUAUGUUUUAGUAAAAGCUUGAUCUGGUGGGACUGGAAAUUGGAACAUCUCAAGUACUUCUCUGAACAAAGUCAUUGUAGAGGAAUUACAAGCCUUGGGUAUAUUAGCCCAAGCACACAUCUAUAAAUAUAUUUUCCUGCCCUGAUGGAUUGAAUGGGUCCUUAGGAAAUAUCAGGGCAAUAAAUGAGUUCAACUCUGACAUCUUUGGAAGAGGCAAAGAUAAUGAAAGACAUUUGGGAUCAAUCUCCACAUUGGAACAGACUGUGCUUUGCUAUGGGAAGAGCAACAAUGGACUUUGUUCUUCCAUAUGGUAUUUACGUAGCUUGAUAAUAGGUUAUGGGAUGGCGGUGAUAGCUCUGAUCUUGUGGACAAAACCAUAGGAGCUGCCAGAGGGAACCAAUUGAGUCUGUUGGCCAUGAGAAUGGCAAAAGGGCCUCAAUUAAUUGGGUUGCUAGUCCAUGGGCAAAGAGACUAGACCAAGACAUACAAAUAGGAAAAAAAAAAAAACCUACUAGUAGAGAAUUUUUCAUCGUUGCGUGAGUUUCUCACUUCAUUAUGGUCUAUAACAACUUCAUUGUUGUCAUACUUUUCUUUGCACAAGGACAUCUUGAACAAGAAAUAUGGUAUUGUAAAUGUGGUGGGACACAGGCUGGUACUAUUCUCACUUAGAUUGAUCAGGUUGCUGAUGUGUUGCUGAAUAAUCCAAUUUGUAUGUAUUCACUCCUGUUGCAUAUUACCCUUAGAACUAAGGUAUUUAUAUAACAGACAAAUAUCAUAAUAGAUGUGCAGAAUAAAAUGAUUCCUGGUUGUACAUUGAGGUGCCUCUGUCCUCCUCUUCUCAUCUCCUGUGGCAUCUUCAGUCAGCCACUUUGGUGUAGAGGGAGCACAUGUGAAAACUAGAGCCACAGCUGCAGCUCAUGGACACAGCUGGACAACUGCUCUAUGGAACUGAACAUAAAUGUAUCUUCCUUUAAGGAAACCAAAUAGCAUGACUUCCAUUAUAUGUGGAAAUAAAUAACUAUGACAAAGCAAAAAAAAAAAAAAAAAA